UACGUGAGGGGCGAACGUUGUUCGGUGUCACUGGGCUUAAAGGGCGCGUAGGUGGCUGCGUAAGUAAGGUGUGAAAGCCCUCGGCUUACCCGGGGAAUUGCGCCUUAUACUGCGCGGCUUGAGGAUUUCAGGGGAAGGGGGAACUCCAGGUGUAGCGGUGAAAUGCGCAGAUAUCUGGGGGAAGGCCGGCGGCGAAGGCGCCCUUCUGGGAAAUUCCUGACACUGAGGCGCGAAAGCGUGGGGAGCAAACAGG
rnacentral:rRNA from 1 species